GAUCAUUGCUUGCAGCUGGUUCCUACGGUUUCCUGGGCUGACGCUUAAUGUGUUUUCAUCACUCGUUGGACCUCUGAGGGAAUCCCUGUGCAACACCUGUCACACCAGAGAGGAGCUUUAAAUGACUACGUUUAACUUGGCAAUUCCUGUUGAACAAAUCUGCACUUUUCAACCGCAGGUGGAUUGGAUGGAGUAACUGGCUUAAGCGCAUCUGAGACUCGGAAAGACUGUCCACGCCCCACGUGUUCUUCGGACUCCUUUCAUUUAUUUUACCAGGGUGGGGCUUAGGGCGCGUGGGAGGUGCCUGGGGCGCAAAUAUUAAUAAUUUUAAGGAGGAGCUCAUUCUCAGGGUUAGUCUUAACUCAAAAUUUGCGCUAUAGAGCCUCCCUCACCUUAUGCUGAUCCCGGCAUUUUAUUAAACAUUUUAAGCAUU